GAUGAACGCUGGCGGCGUGCUUAACACAUGCAAGUCGAACGGGAUCCCAGGAGCUUGCUCCUGGGUGAGAGUGGCGAACGGGUGAGUAAUGCGUGACCGACCUGCCCCAUACACCGGAAUAGCUCCUGGAAACGGGUGGUAAUGCCGGAUGCUCCGACAUGACGCAUGUCGUGUCGGGAAAGAUUCAUCGGUAUGGGAUGGGGUCGCGUCCUAUCAGGUAGUCGGCGGGGUAACGGCCCACCGAGCCUACGACGGGUAGCCGGCCUGAGAGGGCGACCGGCCACAUUGGGACUGAGAUACGGCCCAGACUCCUACGGGAGGCAGCAGUGGGGAAUAUUGCACAAUGGGCGCAAGCCUGAUGCAGCGACGCCGCGUGCGGGAUGACGGCCUUCGGGUUGUAAACCGCUUUUGACUGGGAGCAAGCCCUUCGGGGUGAGUGUACCUUUCGAAUAAGCAC
rnacentral:rRNA from 1 species